rnacentral:rRNA from 1 species
UACGUAGGGGGCAAGCGUUGUCCGGAUUUAUUGGGCGUAAAGAGCGUGUAGGCGGUUUGGUAGGUCCGCUGUGAAAACUCGAGGCUCAACCUCGAGACGCCGGUGGAAACCAUCAGACUAGAGUCCGGAAGAGGGAGAGUGGAAUUCCUGGUGUAGCGGUGAAAUGCGUAGAUAUCAGGAGGAACACCGGCGGUGUAGACGGCUUUCUGGACCGUAGCUGACGCUGAGACACGAAAGCGUGGGUAGCAAACAGG